AUGGAACUUGAGUCUCUUCAUCAAAUUUCUCCACACCUGCUCCAUGACAAGAACUUGUUUUAUUGUAGCAUAAUCGGUAAUUUGUGGCGUGAAUUGUGGCUAACAUCUAAACUAGUACCAGCUGUUAAUCUGGCACCUCAAAUUGAUGAGGAUUUGACAAUCAAAAUAUGCAGCAGCCUCUUUAAUUCAAGCACGCAGGAAAUUAUAUAG